rnacentral:lncRNA from 1 species
GCCCAAAACGUGGAUAAAUAAUAGCUGGUUGCAUAGGGGUUGGCAUGGGAUUCACAUAAUCCCUCACUAAAGCUUCUCCUUGAUUUGCUACUAUCCUUGGUUGAUCUGGUUGAGGUAAUGGUAAAGGAUUUUGAACUUGAUUCGGAUGUUGAUUUUCUGUCAUUUCUCUCGCUUGUCUCUGUUCUCUUCUUCGUUGUCUGAAAGUUCUUUCAAUUUCGGAAUAUAUUGGAAGAAGCUCGAUCUCG